rnacentral:hammerhead_ribozyme from 1 species
AUCCAGCUGACGAGUCCCAAAUAGGACGAAAUGCGCA